AAGCACAAUUAAAAGUGGGAAAAGACAGAGAUUCAAAGAGCGAAAAAGCAGAGGAAAUGAUGCUCUCGAACUGGAAGUGUAAAUUACAAUCCAGGAAGUUGAUAAUUGAAUUAAAAAGAGUGAGAUUAGAGAAAAUGAGAGAGAGAGAGGGAGAGAAGAGAGAGAGAGAGAGAGAGAGAGAGAGAGAGAA